rnacentral:rRNA from 1 species
GCCAGGSRKGGSUGCUAUAAUGCAGUCGAGCGGACAGAUGGGAGCUUGCUCCCUGAUGUUAGCGGCGGACGGGUGAGUAACACGUGGGUAACCUGCCUGUAAGACUGGGAUAACUCCGGGAAACCGGGGCUAAUACCGGAUGGUUGUUUGAACCGCAUGGUUCAAACAUAAAAGGUGGCUUCGGCUACCACUUACAGAUGGACCCGCGGCGCAUUAGCUAGUUGGUGAGGUAACGGCUCACCAAGGCAACGAUGCGUAGCCGACCUGAGAGGGUGAUCGGCCACACUGGGACUGAGACACGGCCCAGACUCCUACGGGAGGCAGCAGUAGGGAAUCUUCCGCAAUGGACGAAAGUCUGACGGAGCARCGCCGCGUGAGUGAUGAAGGUUUUCGGAUCGUAAAGCUCUGUUGUUAGGGAAGAACAAGUACCGUUCGAAUAGGGCGGUACCUUGACGGUACCUAACCAGAAAGCCACGGCUAACUACGUGCCAGCAGCCGCGGUAAUACGUAGGUGGCAAGCGUUGUCCGGAAUUAUUGGGCGUAAAGGGCUCGCAGGCGGUUUCUUAAGUCUGAUGUGAAAGCCCCCGGCUCAACCGGGGAGGGUCAUUGGAAACUGGGGAACUUGAGUGCAGAAGAGGAGAGUGGAAUUCCACGUGUAGCGGUGAAAUGCGUAGAGAUGUGGAGGAACACCAGUGGCGAAGGCGACUCUCUGGUCUGUAACUGACGCUGAGGAGCGAAAGCGUGGGGAGCGAACAGGAUUAGAUACCCUGGUAGUCCACGCCGUAAACGAUGAGUGCUAAGUGUUAGGGGGUUUCCGCCCCUUAGUGCUGCAGCUAACGCAUUAAGCACUCCGCCUGGGGAGUACGGUCGCAAGACUGAAACUCAAAGGAAUUGACGGGGGCCCGCACAAGCGGUGGAGCAUGUGGUUUAAUUCGAAGCAACGCGAAGAACCUUACCAGGUCUUGACAUCCUCUGACAAUCCUAGAGAUAGGACGUCCCCUUCGGGGGCAGAGUGACAGGUGGUGCAUGGUUGUCGUCAGCUCGUGUCGUGAGAUGUUGGGUUAAGUCCCGCAACGAGCGCAACCCUUGAUCUUAGUUGCCAGCAUUCAGUUGGGCACUCUAAGGUGACUGCCGGUGACAAACCGGAGGAAGGUGGGGAUGACGUCAAAUCAUCAUGCCCCUUAUGACCUGGGCUACACACGUGCUACAAUGGACAGAACAAAGGGCAGCGAAACCGCGAGGUUAAGCCA